ensembl:miRNA Mir30e microRNA mir-30e
CUUUGCUACUGUAAACAUCCUUGACUGGAAGCUGUAAGGUGUUGAGAAGAGCUUUCAGUCGGAUGUUUACAGCGGCAGGCUGC